AACGCUGGCGGCGUGCCUAAUACAUGCAAGUCGAGCGAAUGGAUUAAGAGCUUGCUCUUAUGAAGUUAGCGGCGGACGGGUGAGUAACACGUGGGUAACCUGCCCAUAAGACUGGGAUAACUCCGGGAAACCGGGGCUAAUACCGGAUAACAUUUUGAACUGCAUGGUUCGAAAUUGAAAGGCGGCUUCGGCUGUCACUUAUGGAUGGACCCGCGUCGCAUUAGCUAGUUGGUGAGGUAACGGCUCACCAAGGCAACGAUGCGUAGCCGACCUGAGAGGGUGAUCGGCCACACUGGGACUGAGACACGGCCCAGACUCCUACGGGAGGCAGCAGUAGGGAAUCUUCCGCAAUGGACGAAAGUCUGACGGAGCAACGCCGCGUGAGUGAUGAAGGCUUUCGGGUCGUAAAACUCUGUUGUUAGGGAAGAACAAGUGCUAGUUGAAUAAGCUGGCACCUUGACGGUACCUAACCAGAAAGCCACGGCUAACUAC
rnacentral:rRNA from 1 species